GGGGAUGUAGGUUUCGAUAGAGAUAAAGUUCAUUUAGAGGCAGGGGAAGAAUGGCUAUCACCUUCUAAAACUUUAGCCAAAACAAGAAGUGCCAAUCAAAAUUACGCACUCGCUUACGCUUAAUAUAGCUUGAGCCGUUUUGCCCUCAAUUCUCACUAGAGGGACAAGGCGUCAUUAGUGAGAUAUGUUGGCAGUCCACAGUCUUGAGGGCUGUCAAUGAAACUAACCAAGACAAUUGUCUGGUUAUUUUGUUUGCUUCUAUCUAGACAAUUAAAAAAGCAAACUAACCCUGUAGUCUCUGAUUGUCUUCGUCUUUAGACGGGGUUUCAAUACCCCCAUCUCCACAU
rnacentral:tmRNA from 1 species